GCUCAGAUUGAACGUUGGCGGCAGGCCUAACACAUGCAAGUCGAGCGGUAACAGAAAGUAGCUUGCUAGUUUGCUGACGAGCGGCGGACGGGUGAGUAAUGCUUGGGAACAUGCCUUGAGGUGGGGGACAACAGUUGGAAACGACUGCUAAUACCGCAUAAUGUCUACGGACCAAAGGGGGCUUCGGCUCUCGCCUUUAGAUUGGCCCAAGUGGGAUUAGCUAGUUGGUGAGGUAAUGGCUCACCAAGGCAACGAUCCCUAGCUGGUUUGAGAGGAUGAUCAGCCACACUGGAACUGAGACACGGUCCUGACUCCUACGGGAGGCAGCAGUGGGGAAUAUUGCACAAUGGGCGAAAGCCUGAUGCAGCCAUGCCGCGUGUGUGAAGAAGGCCUUCGGGUUGUAAAGCACUUUCAGUCAGGAGGAAAGGGUGUGAGUUAAUACCUCAGAUCUGUGACGUUACUGACAGAAGAAGCACCGGUUAAA
rnacentral:rRNA from 1 species